CCGCAGCUUACACAUGCAGUCGAGCGGUAGCACAGGGGAGCUUGCUCCCUGGGUGACGAGCGGCGGACGGGUGAGUAAUGUCUGGGAAACUGCCUGAUGGAGGGGGAUAACUACUGGAAACGGUAGCUAAUACCGCAUAACGUCGCAAGACCAAAGAGGGGGACCUUCGGGCCUCUUGCCAUCAGAUGUGCCCAGAUGGGAUUAGCUAGUAGGUGGGGUAAUGGCUCACCUAGGCGACGAUCCCUAGCUGGUCUGAGAGGAUGACCAGCCACACUGGAACUGAGACACGGUCCAGACUCCUACGGGAGGCAGCAGUGGGGAAUAUUGCACAAUGGGCGCAAGCCUGAUGCAGCCAUGCCGCGUGUGUGAAGAAGGCCUUCGGGUUGUAAAGCACUUUCAGCGAGGAGGAAGGUGGUGAACUUAAUACGUUCAUCAAUUGACGUUACUCGCAGAAGAAGCACCGGCUAACUCCGUGCCAGCAGCCGCGGUAAUACGGAGGGUGCAAGCGUUAAUCGGAAUUACUGGGCGUAAAGCGCACGCAGGCGGUUUGUUAAGUCAGAUGUGAAAUCCCCGGGCUCAACCUGGGAACUGCAUUUGAAACUGGCAAGCUAGAGUCUCGUAGAGGGGGGUAGAAUUCCAGGUGUAGCGGUGAAAUGCGUAUAGAUCUGGAGGAAUACCGGUGGCGAAAGCGGCCCCCUGGACCAAGACUGACGCUCAGGUGCGAAAGCGUGG
rnacentral:rRNA from 1 species